UGGCACUGCUGAUCAUCCUGAGGUCUCUUCCAACACAAGCCAUUCUAUGAUUCUAUGAUUUUAUGUCAGACCUUACCUCGUCCCAGCACAGGGCACGUUUUGCAAACAUCCCACCAAAUAUCAGCCAUUCAAGAAUAUUUAUUCUUUGGUUAUUUUUCAUAAAGCUCCCCAUAUCUUGUGACACCAUGCUAGAAAGUGGGAAUUAAUGUGGCGUUGCUCAGCUUCUCUCCCUUUCAGCAAACACUGAUUGUUUUUUUGUGGUUUUCUCACGUCUUGGCAGGUUUAUUUCUCAUACAUGCUCAUGACUGACUUCAGUUCUGGUGAAGGAAGGUGGACUGACAGCCAGCCCCAGGGAAUGAGAGCAGACGAUGCAACAGCAAAGGCAAAUCCUUCUUCCUGCACAAUCCAGCUCUCCUCAACCCAGGAAGGAAUCCAAGUGGCUUUUUGUGCUUUUGCUGGCUGAGGUGGCAACAAUCACUGCUAUACAGGAUUCAAAUUGGGGGACAGCACCCACCAUGGGCUGUUGGUGCCUUGUGCAAGGCUGGAACCAGGGAGAUGCAAGCAAGAAGCAUCUUGAGGCACCAGGAAUUAUUGCCAGCUGUGAGGUGAAUGGUGCAGUCCCUGCUCAUGUGCACUUCAUGAUGGAAGGAACCAGUCUUGUGUGGAGAAGUAACUGGAAACUCACCCAGGGGAAAGGGCUGACAGUGCUAACAUUGCUCCUUGGCCCAAUUUCCAAGUCCGAUGUAGAAGUUACAUACCAGGAGCAGAAGGAGUGA
rnacentral:lncRNA from 1 species